UGCUCUAGGCAAAGCUUCUGCUGCUGCUUCAGAGGAAGCCCUCAGGCAAAGGCACAGAUACCCACCUUUGAGAGGUGACAGCGAACAUAAAAGGUCAAUGAACUGAAGUGAAAAGGAAGAAAGAUAAAAGUGUUCACCCAGGAAGUUGAAAUGGCAUCGUAUGUUCUUCCUUCUUCCAAUCCAACAUCAAAUGAAGGCAGCAGUGCCCUUGGCCUGGAAGAUGAUUCCGGCUCACCUCACUUUCUGAUGUUUGGUGAAACUACUUUCCAGCUCCUGAAGAUGCACCUUUUUCUUCAUUAUAGUUAAAGCUUGUUCCAUCCUCUACUGUUGAAAGUCUUGUGGGCCAUCCCUCUCCUACAACUUAUUCAAGAUCAAUGGAAAUAUCUAUUUACAGAAACAGUUGUUUAGGAAUGUCUAUAACUAUUAGCAAGGAAAUGCUAAAUGCUUAAUCAUUCUGCUUUUCCAUCAGCCACGCAUGUGUUUGCUGCUGACGUCCACACAGCACCAGUGUUUCUAAGUAAAUCUCUUCUGCUUGGCUGUGCAGUGCAAUCUCACUGUGGUUUAUAUUGGAUUCUUUAAAACA